rfam:Streptomyces sp. Ncost-T10-10d genome assembly, contig: Ga0115254_1063
CGGUUCUUGCAUCUCGUGACACCGAGUGACCGUAUUUGAUGCGCUCACUCAUGGGGAAGUCCCAUGACUCGCCCCGUCACCGGAGGU